CGGAGGAUGCAAGCGUUAUCCGGAUUCAUUGGGUUUAAAGGGUGCGUAGGCGGCCUUUAAGUCAGUGGUGAAAUCUUGCCGCUUAACGGUAAAUUGCCAUUGAUACUGAAAGGCUUGAGUACAUUUGAGGUAAGCGGAAUGUGUAGUGUAGCGGUGAAAUGCUUAGAUAUUACACAGAACACCAAUUGCGAAGGCAGCUUACUAAACUGUUACUGACGCUGAUGCACGAAAGCGUGGGAGCGAACAGGAUU
rnacentral:rRNA from 1 species